rnacentral:lncRNA from 1 species
GGGAAACAAAUGAGCUUAGAAAUAAAAAGAUAAACUUGGUGAAAGUAUAAUGGCAAAAGCACGGGAUAGAGGAAGUGACAUAGGAACCGAAGGAGGCAAUGAGGAAACAAUACCCGAACCUAUUUACUGGUAAGAUUUUCGAGGACGAAAAUCCUUAAGGGAAGAGAGUUGUAAUGGCCUAAAUUAAAGGUUAUCGAAACAGUGG